GAUGAACGCUGGCGGCGUGCCUAAUACAUGCAAGUCGAGCGAACAGACGAGGAGCUUGCUCCUCUGACGUUAGCGGCGGACGGGUGAGUAACACGUGGAUAACCUACCUAUAAGACUGGGAUAACUUCGGGAAACCGGAGCUAAUACCGGAUAAUAUAUUGAACCGCAUGGUUCAAUAGUGAAAGACGGUUUUGCUGUCACUUAUAGAUGGAUCCGCGCCGCAUUAGCUAGUUGGUAAGGUAACGGCUUACCAAGGCAACGAUGCGUAGCCGACCUGAGAGGGUGAUCGGCCACACUGGAACUGGGACACGGUCAAGACUCCUGCGGGAGGCAGCAGUAGGGAAUCUUCCGCAAUGGGCGAAAGCCUGACGGAGCAACGCCGCGUGAGUGAUGAAGGUCUUCGGAUCGUAAAACUCUGUUAUUAGGGAAGAACAAAUGUGUAAGUAACUAUGCACGUAUUGACGGUACCUAAUCAGAAAGCCACGGCUAACUACGUG
rnacentral:rRNA from 1 species